rnacentral:rRNA from 1 species
CCUACGGGAGGCAGCAGUGAGGAAUAUUGGUCAAUGGACGAGAGUCUGAACCAGCCAAGUAGCGUGAAGGAUGACUGCCCUAUGGGUUGUAAACUUCUUUUAUAAAGGAAUAAAACGAGGCACGUGUGCCUUUUUGCAUGUACUUUAUGAAUAAGGAUCGGCUAACUCCGUGCCAGCAGCCGCGGUAAUACGGAGGGUCCGAGCGUUAUCCGGAGUUAGUGGGUUUAAAGGGAGCGUAGAUGGGUUGUUAAGUCAGUUGUGAAAGUUUGCGGUGCAACCGUAAAAUUGCAAUUGAUACUGGCAGUCUUGAGUACAGUUGAGGUAGGCGGAAUUCGUGGUGUAGCGGUGAAAUGCUUAGAUAUCACGAAGAACCCCGAUUGCGAAGGCAGCUUACUAAACUGUGACUGACAUUGAUGCUCGAAAGUGUGGGUAUCAAACAGGAUUAGAUACCCCUGUAGUC